GAUGAACGCUGGCGGCGUGCCUAAUACAUGCAAGUCGAGCGAACAGACGAGGAGCUUGCUCCUCUGACGUUAGCGGCGGACGGGUGAGUAACACGUGGAUAACCUACCUAUAAGACUGGGAUAACUUCGGGAAACCGGAGCUAAUACCAGAUAAUAUAUUGAACCGCAUGGUUCAAUAGUUAAAGACGGUUUUGCUGUCACUUAUAGAUGAAUCCGCGCCGCAUUAGCUAGUUGGUAAGGUAACGGCUUACCAAGGCAACGAUGCGUAGCCGACCUGAGAGGGUGAUCGGCCACACUGGAACUGAGACACGGUCCAGACUCCUACGGGAGGCAGCAGUAGGGAAUCUUCCGCAAUGGGCGAAAGCCUGACGGAGCAACGCCGCGUGAGUGAUGAAGGUCUUCGGAUCGUAAAACUCUGUUAUUAGGGAAGAACAAAUGUGUAAGUAACUAUGCACGUCUUGACGGUACCUAAUCAGAAAGCCACGGCUAACUACGUG
rnacentral:rRNA from 1 species